UACAUCGGAACGUGCCCUGUAGUGGGGGAUAACUAGUCGAAAGACUAGCUAAUACCGCAUACGACCUGAGGGUGAAAGUGGGGGACCGCAAGGCCUCAUGCUAUAGGAGCGGCCGAUGUCUGAUUAGCUAGUUGGUGGGGUAAAGGCCCACCAAGGCGACGAUCAGUAGCUGGUCUGAGAGGACGAUCAGCCACACUGGGACUGAGACACGGCCCAGACUCCUACGGGAGGCAGCAGUGGGGAAUUUUGGACAAUGGGGGCAACCCUGAUCCAGCAAUGCCGCGUGUGUGAAGAAGGCCUUCGGGUUGUAAAGCACUUUUGUCCGGAAAGAAAUCGCACUGGUUAAUACCUGGUGUGGAUGACGGUACCGGAAGAAUAAGGACCGGCUAACUACGUGCCAGCAGCCGCGGUAAUACGUAGGGUCCAAGCGUUAAUCGGAAUUACUGGGCGUAAAGCGUGCGCAGGCGGUUGUGCAAGACCGAUGUGAAAUCCCCGGGCUUAACCUGGGAAUUGCAUUGGUGACUGCACGGCUAGAGUGUGUCAGAGGGAGGUAGAAUUCCACGUGUAGCAGUGAAAUGCGUAGAGAUGUGGAGGAAUACCGAUGGCGAAGGCAGCCUCCUGGGAUAACACUGACGCUCAUGCACGAAAGCGUGGGGAGCAAACAGGAUUAGAUACCCUGGUAGUCCACGCCCUAAACGAUGUCAACUAGUUGUUGGGGAUUCAUUUCCUUAGUAACGUAGCUAACGCGUGAAGUUGACCGCCUGGGGAGUACGGUCGCAAGAUUAAAACUCAAAGGAAUUGACGGGGACCCGCACAAGCGGUGGAUGAUGUGAUUAAUUCGAUGCAACGCGAAAACCUUACCUACCCUUGACAUGCC
rnacentral:rRNA from 1 species